rnacentral:rRNA from 1 species
UACGUAGGUGACCAGCGUUGUCCGGAUUUACUGGGCGUAAAGAGCGCGCAGGCGGUCGUUCAAGUCGAGUGUGAAAGCCCCCGGCUCAACUGGGGAGGGUCAUUCGAUACUGAUCGACUUGAAGGCAGGAGAGGGAAGUGGAAUUCCCGGUGUAGUGGUGAAAUGCGUAGAUAUCACUUGGAACGCCAAUGGUGAAGACAGCUCGCUGGGGGUGUCCUGACGCUGAGGCGCGAAAGCCAGGGGAGCGAACGGG